GGAUUAGAUACCCUGGUAGUCCACGCCGUAAACGAUGUCAACUAGCCGUUGGGGGACUUGAUCCCUUAGUGGCGCAGCUAACGCGAUAAGUUGACCGCCUGGGGAGUACGGCCGCAAGGUUAAAACUCAAAUGAAUUGACGGGGGCCCGCACAAGCGGUGGAGCAUGUGGUUUAAUUCGAUGCAACGCGAAGAACCUUACCAGGCCUUGACAUCCUUGGAACUUAGCAGAGAUGCUUUGGUGCCUUCGGGAGCCAAGUGACAGGUGCUGCAUGGCUGUCGUCAGCUCGUGCCG
rnacentral:rRNA from 1 species